UUUUGGGGCGGUGUUAACCGACUCUUCUUCUCAGCCUCCACCCCGCGCUCCGCGGGGCUUCCAGUCUCUUCCGUUUUCCAUUCCAUUCGGAGCCCGGGAAAAAAAAGAAAACACAGCCCGGGAAGCCCCCAUCAGCCGGCACCCAGCCUAGCUUACGGACGCAACUGCUGAUUCAGUGGGCGGCCAAGGCCAGCUCCACAAUCUUCCUUUCACCUCCCCACUUCACCAGCGACCGGAGUCCCACACGCAGAGGAAGGGCCCUAGUUCCACAACCUGCCAAAUUCAGCUGUGUCCCUCCUCCCCCAGAACGGUGAGAAAGAUUGCAUCUUCUCUUCGGAGCAGCCACAAGAAC
rfam:Procavia capensis cont1.101205, whole genome shotgun sequence.